CUCCCCUACACAGAUCUAUAAGCCGUCCCACCUGUCUCAAUGGUUUGCUCCUCAUUAACAGCUGAAGGAGCCCUAAUCAAAGCCCAGACAUAAGUGGGAAGCAAGAGGUACUGAGGACAGGCACAGAAAGCAGGAGCACCUCCAGCUUCCCAACUGAAGGGUCUCAACAGGACUUAAGGCAGAGGCUCACACUAUCCCUGAGGGUUCUACAGUUUAAGAAGACACGUACAGAGAGAACGCUGGUUCUCGAAGCUCUACAUUCGAUACACAUAAGACGCUCAUCAGCUAAACCCUCUGACUUACAUGAGCCAGUCCCUACCUAAGACCUGUUAUUCAGGGAGCCAUAGAAAUCUACAGUGGGAGGCACCUGAGAACUAUCCCUGACUAAGUGUGGUGGCCAUAUGGUGGAAGGACAAAAGGCAAUGGACAGCAGUCCGAAACCAGAACAGGGAAAGGCACUGUCAGCUGCCACUCUUCCUCCACUGGCUAACGUGGCUAAUAUGGCAUUUGCACUAAAAAGGCACUAAACAUAUUUUAAGUUAAUGUUUAAAACAGCAAGGAGUCUUUUUUUAAGUAAUUCCAGAUGAAAAUUGCCAAUAUUUUUUAAAAUUCUAUUGAAAAGCCACAGAGAAAGGCAUUAACUUCAGGUUUCUCAGCCAAAGCCCAUGGAAAACGGCCUCAGCUGUGUCAGCCACUGACUUUGAUUCAGAGAGCACUAAGCAAACCUACUGUCCGUCAGCAAAAUGGGAAUAGCAACCUUUGCCCUUUUUGCCACCAGACAAUGACUACCUGAAAAGCUGAUGUCUGAUACAUCUGAAUUUCUCAGAAGAAGAUACUGUAAGUUUUCUCUGGGGCCUAGAUAGCCAACUUACCACAUGAACGGGAACACAUUCAUCAUCUACCACAUCAUAAUUUCAGAUUUUAAAUGGCUAGAGAAAACCAUCCACCUUCAAGCGUUUUCCUGAUAUUGAAACAGUAAAAUCUGCCAGUCAACUGGAAAAACAUCAGCAACAACAACAAAAACGUAAAUCUUUCCCCUUAAAAAAUGAUCAUGUUUUCUCACGCUUUUUUAAUUUUAGAGCCCCAUCUCCCCAUCCUCAUAGCAUUGCAGAGCACUUCCCCAGAAAAUCUGAAUGUUAUCUGUUACAAAAUUUUAUCUCCUUUGAUGAAAGGGAGGAAAACUUUAAAAUUCAUGCCAUUAAUGUUCUCCCUUUCUUGUCAUUCUUCAUGGAGACGACGCAGUGAAAGAACAGUAGUAUUUUAGGCUCAACACUAAUUCUAAGAGAAAAAUCACAGUAAUUUUCAGAAUAGGUUAACACAGGAAGUUAAGAAAGCAACGAGUUUCAAGAGCCCCUUCUGGGAAGCUAGCCUCCCUGAUGUGAAGGUCCAGCACCACACGGACAGAGUCCUUUUUGGCCAGCGAAAGACUCCCUCUCUGUGCACAUGGUACUCACAGAGAAAAAGCUGUCAUUCAGCAAACAUAAUAAAUUACUCCAGUAGUUCAAACUAAUUCUAUUUACCCAACUCCAAAUAAAUAAUUUUACCCUUUGGGUGGAGAAUGUUGCAAGACAUAUUUCCUACCAAAAAAGAAGGAAACUGGAUAGCAAAUGCCAAAAAUGGCACUAUUAAAUAUUUAGACAACUUAAUGUUUUAUUAUUCAGGGUCACUUAUGACAAUUCACACUGAAGAUUUUCAUGGCCAUCCAUAAAAGACAAAAGAUAUUAUUUUUCAUUCUGUCUCAGUUAAUAUAAAAAACCUGAAAUGAGAUAUAGUUGAAUAAUUCUCAAAAAAACUGCCACGGUCCUUAAAAUCAUAUUUAGAAAGCAAGCAGACAAUACAAGGGAUGCAGGGUAACACGGUGCUUGUUCCGACCUGUGGAAGUGGCAGUAAACGGGAAACACACAGAGGCUAAAGGAUGAAAUGAACAAAAAGUGAGUGUGCACCCCAGCAGCAGAUACACUCCCACAGCGGCAGUACUCUGAGGUUUCGCUUUGACUUCAAGACAUGCAAAAGAUGAAGUCAGCUGGGUUCACGCUCUGCUCACCUAGCCGUGCCCAGCAAAUGAGCCCUCACCCACUCCUUCAUCCAAAUAUCGACUGUCUGAGCAAGCAGGAUGUCGAACAAGCACGACUACACAAGUGACCAAAACAACACAACUCCCUCUGCCCUUGGAAAACUCCAUCCAAGGUGGCCUUCCCGUGUUCCAGGACAAAAACUUGGGCAGGUGCCAGGUCCUUUCUGUUCACUCCUAGGUAACUGAGAGUCCCUUCAAGUCAUAAAACAAUCCUAAUUUGGAGGUUAGACUUCCCAGUCCCUUUUAAUAAUCAAUACUCCACAUCUGAUUCAGGGCGAGGCUGGUUUCAGACCCACAGUCUUGGGCAGGGAGUGGCUCAGGCUUUCCUCUUUACAGCUGCUGAUCCCCUCAGGUGUUGGGACAUAAGCAAGGAGGAGGAAAAGGGAACACGAAAGUUCUGACUAAGCUGGCUCCAUCACAAGCCGGCACCCCGUUCUCUUCCUUGCACAGCUGCUUCAGUGGGUUCCUGGGAGAUCUCAUUGCUGGAAACCUCUUUCCUCCAGGUGCCUCGACCUGGGGGAAUGUAUCUCAGCGCCCUUAACCUCCACAACCCCUUGGAAUCUGGCAUCUAUUUCCAGCCUGUUUCUCCAGGGGGCCUCUGUGUGGCCCAACUUACCAGACAGAACCCGAGAAGACACGCUGCCCUCGUGCGGCUCACCACUGGUGCACAGGCAACAACCAGUUAGCCUCUCUUGGUUCAACUAACGCUGCUGGGCAGGCAGAUGGCAACAUCAAAGCCCAAGGCCACAGCCAGCCCAUCUCUGGCCACCUGA
ensembl:lncRNA